GUGUUGUUACUAAAAAUAGCACUCGGACCAGACAUUAUGAAUGUGUCACAGGUCACGGAUCAUGACUUGAGUCUAGACGCUAAUAAUUCUAUUAAAGGACAAAUGGACAUAUUUUUACAACUGGACAGGAAAGAUGUUUGCAUGUUCUAAAAGGGAAACUAUGAUCGGCUGCAUCAUGGAAUAUUACUGAGAGUUGGGAAGUGACAUAUUCUAUUGACUGAGGGGUACACUGGUCAGUGCAUAGCUUGUUAAUGGGAAGACAUCCCCCCUAAUGUCCUAAUGCGUUGGAUUUCCUUGUGUAGAGCUCGAAUCCCAUGGGCGUCGAAUACCAGGAUCGUUCCUUGCAGUUUGUUGUUCCGAAACUGGAGUUUUCGGUGGCGAGUGUCUGAUAAGCGCGUGCUCACGUACACUCCUUGUUAACCACUACUAGUAUAUGUCUUUGAAAAUGCCAGAACUGAAGAUAAUGCUUGUGUUAAAAUUGGUAUUAAAGGUUUUCUCUUUUAAUGACACGUGAAAACAUAAUCUUAAUACUAUCUUUAUUGCCAUGAUAACAUUGAUCUCCUUGAUCCUGACAAGCCUUUAAAAAUAAUUUAAAACAAAAGCAUGUGCACAUGUAUUUUAAAAGAAAUUGUUCAGUAAUAAGCUGUAUAUUUCAUCCUGUCUCUUACGCCAUGCUUUAGGAAAACAUUAACAUCUGAAUGUAAGUAAACAAGCAUUAACAUACAUCAAAAGCUUUAGUUUCUCUUGGAAUUCUAUGAAAGUGUUUCAUUAGGGGAGUGGUGGACUAGCGGUUAAGGUGUCGACCGCUCAACCUGGGAUUCGUUGGUUCGUCACGAACAUGCCUUCUCAUAUGGCCCAGUACUGGUAUUUUCCCAGGAAGAGGACAAGAAAGUGGUUUAAAUAAGCCUGAAGCUUUCAUCACAAUCGAGCUGAAAUGAAUUAGUAUAAACUAAAAAAAUCUGAACUAUUUAUUCAUUUAUUUAUUUGGGUUUUACGGCACACAGUGUGCUAUUGUUAAAAAUACAUAAAUGGCGAGGUAUACAUUUCACUCAAUCAUGGUAAAAGAGAAGUGUUUCAGAGUAUUUAUCUUUGUAAUUCAAAAGAUAUCUACUUUGAAUUUUAUGAAAUUAUCUUUGAAAUCUUAUUUGCCAUAAUCACAAUCUGGACGUUUUGUACAAGGCCCUUUUUCAGCCUCGGGUCCAUUUAUAGCCACUUUUUAGCCUAAGGUAAAACA